CCUACGGGGGGCUGCAGUGAGGAAUAUUGGUCAAUGGACGAGAGUCUGAACCAGCCAAGUAGCGUAAAGGAUGACUGCCCUAUGGGUUGUAAACUUCUUUUAUAUGGGAAUAAAAUGUUCCACGUGUGGGAUUUUGUAUGUACCAUAUGAAUAAGGAUCGGCUAACUCCGUGCCAGCAGCCGCGGUAAUACGGAGGAUCCGAGCGUUAUCCGGAUUUAUUGGGUUUAAAGGGAGCGUAGGUGGAUUGUUAAGUCAGUUGUGAAAGUUUGCGGCUCAACCGUAAAAUUGCAGUUGAAACUGGCAGUCUUGAGUACAGUAGAGGUGGGCGGAAUUCGUGGUGUAGCGGUGAAAUGCUUAGAUAGCACGAAGAACUCCGAUUGCGAAGGCAGUUCACUGGACUGCAACUGACACUGAGGCUCGAAAGUGUGGGUAUCAAACAGGAUUAGAUACCCGUGUAGUC
rnacentral:rRNA from 1 species